GACGAAGCUGCACAACGACCUCUUUGACGUAUACGACCCAGAAAUCCGCCCCAUCUUGAACCACGGUGAAAGUGUUAAGGUGCAAGUGACAAUGUACCUGGCUAUGAUCCUUGAUCUGGAUAUCAAGAAACAGGUGUUAAAAUUCAGCGGUUUUAUGUCUUUUAAAUGGAAAGAUGAAUUGUUGGUUUGGAACACAUCAAAGUAUGGCGGAAUUGAAGACAUCAUUGCGCCUCAACGAC